GAUGAACGCUGGCGGCGUGCCUAAUACAUGCAAGUCGAGCGAACAGACGAGGAGCUUGCUCCUCUGACGUUAGCGGCGGACGGGUGAGUAACACGUGGAUAACCUACCUAUAAGACUGGGAUAACUUCGGGAAACCGGAGCUAAUACCGGAUAAUAUAUUGAACCGCAUGGUGCAAUAGUGAAAGACGGUUUUGCUGUCACUUAUAGAUGGAUCCGCGCCGCAUUAGCUAGUUGGUAAGGUAACGGCUUACCAAGGCAACGAGGCGUAGCCGACCGGAGGGGGUGGUCGGCGACCCUGGAACUGGGACGCGGUCCAUACUCCUACGGGACGCAGCAGUAGGGAAUCUUCCGCAAUGGGGGGAAGCCUUACGGAGCAACGCCGCGUGAGUGAUGGCGGCCUUCCGAGCGGGAAACUCUGUUAUUAGGGAAGAACAAAUGUGUAAGUAACUAUGCACGUCUUGACGGUACCUAAUCAGAAAGCCACGGCUAACUACGUG
rnacentral:rRNA from 1 species